rnacentral:rRNA from 1 species
CAGCCGCCACGGUAAUACGAAGGGGGCUAGCGUUGCUCGGAAUUACUGGGCGUAAAGGGCGCGUAGGCGGACAGUUAAGUCGGGGGUGAAAGCCCGGGGCUCAACCCCGGAAUUGCCUUCGAUACUGGCUGUCUUGAGUAUGAGAGAGGUGUGUGGAACUCCGAGUGUAGAGGUGAAAUUCGUAGAUAUUCGGAAGAACACCAGUGGCGAAGGCGACACACUGGCUCAUUACUGACGCUGAGGCGCGAAAGCGUGGGGAGCAAACAGGAUUAGAUACCCGUGUAGUCCCUGUCUCUUAUAC